rnacentral:rRNA from 1 species
UACGUAGGGGACGAGCGUUGUCCGGAAUUACUGGGCGUAAAGGUCGCGCAGGCUGUAGAUCAAGUCAGCUGUGAAAUGUCUGGGCUUAACCCGGGCAUGCGGUUGAAACUGAUGUACUGGAGUGCUGUAGAGGCAAGUGGAAUUCCCAGUGUAGCGGUGAAAUGCGUAGAUAUUGGGAAGAACACCGGUGGCGAAGGCGACUUGCUGGGCAGCAACUGACGCUGAGGCGCGAAAGCCAGGGGAGCAAACGGGGAUUAGA